CCAUCUCCUCCUGACACUACGUAAAAAAACACAAACACACUCUCUCCGCGCGAGAAGAAAAAACAAAAACAAAAAGGUACCCUCCUGGUG
rnacentral:ribozyme from 1 species